CGCUGAGGACGUGGUUGCCCGUCCCUCCCUUGGGGAUGCCGUCGACUGCACCCGCCUCGCCUGUGCCUGGCCUGGCUCGCCUCGUGGCGUGGGGGCGAAAAGGGACAGGCGGCGGAGCGCUUACCGGCCGUGGACAGGAGCUGCCCUAAGGGAAGCUGGAAUGGCCAGAGAAAGGUGAAGAAGAAGAAGAAGAGAUGGAAGGCUCUCCGGCCGGCAGCUGCCUCCCGCUGCAGGCAAGAGAGCGCCUGCCUCGCCGGGCGGAGGACAGCCGAGCGACCGGAGUGACAGCAAAGGAAAGGCGGAGAGCGGGAGAAAGAAGCGUCUGCGCUGGCAAGCUCUCCCGGCAGCGCCGAGAGCCAGAGCUGCGGUGCUGCUGCGCCGAUGCUCCGUACGUUCGCAGUAACGGGUAGAGCGGAAGGCUCCGUGGCCAGGGAAGAGCGGCACGGACGCGUUCCUGCUCGCUCCGUUGCACCGGAAUUUCGACGGCUGGGUUCGGCCGCUAAAUUGAUGGCGCUACCGGAAGAAAUUUC